GACGUAGGGCGCGAGCGUUGUCCGGAUUUAUUGGGCGUAAAGAGCUCGUAGGCGGUCUGUCGCGUCUGCUGUGAAAACUCGGGGCUUAACCCCGGGCCUGCAGUGGGUACGGGCAGACUAGAGUGCGGUAGGGGGAGACUGGAAUUCCUGGUGUAGCGGUGAAAUGCGCAGAUAUCAGGAGGAACACCGGUGGCGAAGGCGGGUCUCUGGGCCGUAACUGACGCUGAGGAGCGAAAGCAUGGGGAGCGAACAGG
rnacentral:rRNA from 1 species